GCCGGUCUAAGUUCCUUGGAACAGGACGUCAUAGAGGGUGAGAAUCCCGUAUGUGACCGGUGAUCAACCUCAUGUGAAGUCCCUUCGACGAGUCGAGUUGUUUGGGAAUGCAGCUCUAAAUGGGUGGUAAAUUUCAUCUAAAGCUAAAUACCGGCCGGAGACCGAUAGCGCACAAGUAGAGUGAUCGAAAGAUGAAAAGCACUUUGGAAAGAGAGUUAAAAAGUACGUGAAAUUGUUGAAAGGGAAGCGCUUGCGACCAGACUUGCACGCGGGUGAUCAGCUGUCCUUCUGGGCGGUGCACUCGCCCGCGUUCAGGCCAGCAUCGGUUUUGGCGGUUGGAUAAAGCCCCCGGGAAUGUAGCUCUCUUCGGGGAGUGUUAUAGCCCGGGACGUCAUGCGACCAGCCGGGACCGAGGACCGCGCUUCGGCUAGGAUGCUGGCGUAAUGGUCGUAAGCGACCCGUCUUGAAACACGGACCAAGGAGUCUAACAUCUAUGCGAGUGUUUGGGUGUCAAACCCAUACGCGGAAUGAAAGUGAACGGAGGUGGGAACCGGUGCACCAUCGACCGAUCCUGAUGUCUUCGGAUGGAUUUGAGUAAGAGCAUAGCUGUUGGGACCCGAAAGAUGGUGAACUAUGCCUGAAUAGGGUGAAGCCAGAGGAAACUCUGGUGGAGGCUCGCAGCGGUUCUGACGUGCAAAUCGAUCGUCAAAUUUGGGUAUAGGGGCGAAAGACUAAUCG
rnacentral:rRNA from 1 species